rnacentral:rRNA from 1 species
GACGAACGCUGGCGGCGUGCCUAAUACAUGCAAGUCGAACGCUUCUUUCCUCCCGAGUGCUUGCACUCAAUUGGAAAGAGGAGUGGCGGACGGGUGAGUAACACGUGGGUAACCUACCCAUCAGAGGGGGAUAACACUUGGAAACAGGUGCUAAUACCGCAUAACAGUUUAUGCCGCAUGGCAUAAGAGUGAAAGGCGCUUUCGGGUGUCGCUGAUGGAUGGACCCGCGGUGCAUUAGCUAGUUGGUGAGGUAACGGCUCACCAAGGCCACGAUGCAUAGCCGACCUGAGAGGGUGAUCGGCCACACUGGGACUGAGACACGGCCCAGACUCCUACGGGAGGCAGCAGUAGGGAAUCUUCGGCAAUGGACGAAAGUCUGACCGAGCAACGCCGCGUGAGUGAAGAAGGUUUUCGGAUCGUAAAACUCUGUUGUUAGAGAAGAACAAGGACGCUAGUAACUGAACGUCCCCUGGCGGUAUCUAACCAGAAAGCCACGGCUAACUACGUG